rnacentral:rRNA from 1 species
UACGUAGGGUGCAAGCGUUGUCCGGAAUUACUGGGCGUAAAGGGCUCGUAGGCGGCCAACUAAGUCAGACGUGAAAUCCCUCGGCUUAACCGGGGAACUGCGUCUGAUACUGGAUGGCUUGAGGUUGGGAGAGGGAUGCGGAAUUUCAGGUGUAGCGGUGAAAUGCGUAGAUAUCUGGAGGAACACCGGUGGCGAAGGCGGCAUCCUGGACCAAUUCUGACGCUGAGGAGCGAAAGCCAGGGGAGCAAACGGG